rnacentral:pre_miRNA from 1 species
UUAAUUGGUUAAGGAUAGGGUAAUCUGCAUCCUGAGGUUUAGAGCAACAUUUGUGUUGUAUCUAGUCCUCGGGAUACAGAUUACUUUUUUCUUAAUACCAAUGUGAA